GAUCCGUAAUCCUGGAUCUUCAUCAGUGCUAAUAAUUAUAGACUAUGCUAAUAUUAUUAGCACUGACGAAGAUCCGGGCUAUACGGAUCGAAAGCUU